rnacentral:rRNA from 1 species
GAUGAACGCUAGCGGCAGGCCUAAUACAUGCAAGUCGGACGGGAUUUGGGAGCUUGCUCCUAAUGAGAGUGGCGCACGGGUGCGUAACACGUAUGUAACCUACCUUAAUCAGGGGGAUAGCCUCUCGAAAGAGAGAUUAACACCGCAUAACAUAUUGUUAUGGCAUCGUAGAAAUAUCAAAUAUUUAUAGGAUUAAGAUUGGCAUGCGGAACAUUAGCUAGUCGGUAAGGUAACGGCUUACCAAGGCUACGAUGUUUAGGGGAUCUGAGAGGAUGACCCCCCACACUGGUACUGAGACACGGACCAGACUCCUACGGGAGGCAGCAGUAAGGAAUAUUGGUCAAUGGGCGCAAGCCUGAACCAGCCAUGCCGCGUGCAGGAAGACGGCCCUAUGGGUUGUAAACUGCUUUUGUACCGGAAUAAACCCUUUUACGUGUAGAAGGCUGAAUGUACGGUAAGAAUAAGGAUCGGCUAACUCCGUGCCAGCAGCCGCCGUAAAAC